GAGGGUAUAGCUCAGUGGUACAGUGCAUGCUUAGCACACACAAGGUCCUGGGUUCAAUUCCUAGUACCUCCA
rnacentral:tRNA from 1 species